rnacentral:rRNA from 1 species
GACGUAGGGGGCGAGCGUUGUCCGGAUUUAUUGGGCGUAAAGCGCGCGUAGGCGGCCCGUUAAGUCGGAUGUGAAAACCCGGGGCUCAACCCCGGGCCCGCAUUCGAUACUGGCGGGCUCGAGGCAGGCAGGGGAGAGUGGAAUUCCUGGUGUAGCGGUGAAAUGCGCAGAUAUCAGGAGGAACACCAAUAGCGAAGGCAGCUCGCUGGGACGGUAUUGACGCUAAGGCGCGAAAGCGUGGGGAGCAAACAGG